GUACUCCUUUCGGCUGCACUUAUACUAAAAUUGGAAAGAUACAGAGAAGAUUCCCAUGGCCUCUGCGCAAGGAUGACAAACAUCCAUGAAACUUUCCAAAACCAU